AUGCUCGCUUCGGCAGCACAUAUAGUAACAGAGAUACAGAGAAGAUUAGCAUGGCCCCUGCACAAGGAAAAGUAAAAAGAAAAAAAAGGUUGCCCACCACUCAAUCUGUUU
rnacentral:snRNA from 1 species